UACGGAGGGUGCGAGCGUUGUCCGGAAUUAUUGGGCGUAAAGGGCUCGUAGGCGGUCUGUUGCGUCAGGAGUGAAAACUCGGGGCUUAACCCCGAGCCUGCUUCUGAUACGGGCAGACUAGAGGUAUGCAGGGGAGAACGGAAUUCCUGGUGUAGCGGUGAAAUGCGCAGAUAUCAGGAGGAACACCGGUGGCGAAGGCGGGUCUCUGGGCCGAUACUGACGCUGAGGAGCGAAAGCGUGGGGAGCGAACAGG
rnacentral:rRNA from 1 species